UCCGUUGUUUUUGAGCUGUGCGUGGUUUCCUGGUGGAUUAAGAUUUGGUUUGUCUUUCUUUCUUUUUUGUUGAUCGAUAUAAGGAAACUAUAUCGCGAAAUAUAUAUAUAUAUAUAUAUAUAUAUAUAUAUAUAUACAUCUUGUGCGGUCAUAGUGGUGGCGAACGGGAUAUAUAUACAGGGUGAUUCAUUAAGGAUAAGACACUCAUUUUCUCGGUAACUAUUGAAAAUUUUUAAUUUUUGGUAAGGAAAAUAUUUUUUGAUUUAAAAAACUCUACAAUAAUAUGUAGUAAAAACAUAAUUUUUUUGAUCCCUUCAAGGUUAAAAAACAUUAAUUUGCAUUUUCUUAAAUGGGAACCCCUAUUUUGAAUUUGUUAUUAUUAUUGAACAUAAAAAUACAAACAACUUUGCUCUUACAAUUUUUUUUUUCUGAUCAACCGUUCGUCUGUUACAGCUUGUUAAAGUUAAAUAAUUUUGGACUAAAUUUCUAUUGUUGUUUUAAUGUUUUCAAUACAGAAGUCACUAUUUUUCUAUAGUGUAAUAUACACUAAUUGUUAUUGACCAAGAUAUGACAAGUAAGAUAGCAAUAAUAAUUUACGACACACUAAUUUAACCACAAUUAUCUAUUAUAAUAAUAAUAAUAGAUUCAAAACGGGUCUUUACUAUUUUAUUAAUAGCACAGUCUAUCAGUUUGUAAAACUAACUGUAAUACUGAAGAACGAAUUUCUUUAAAAAACCCAACUCUUCGCCUAGUAUUGUGACUCUUAAAAUAAUCGAAUACUACGAUAAUGUUAUCAUAAUCAUUGCUUACACAAAGUAAUCUUGUUGUUGAUAGAUACGAAUUAAAAGUUGUAGCAUAACCUCAUAAAUUGUAUUGAAUUAAAUACUAAUUCGCCGCUGUAUUACAAUCACGCGUGAAUAAAAAUUCUUGUACAUUAUUCAAUAAGACUUAACAUAACCUUAGAAAACUGAAUUGAGUAUUAAAUUAACUCGACAUCUGUAUACAAACUUGCGUUGUUUAACGUUUUUGUAUAUUAAAUGUUUAAUAAUGUUAUAAAUAAAGUGAUUCAAUGUAACAUAUUAAUUAUUUUAUUUUUAUAUCGUUACAAUUAAUAAAUUAUAUUUGAAAGUUUAUUGAGAUCAUUUAAGGAAAAAAAUGUCAAAUAAUAGCCACAAGGAAAAUUAUUUAUAUUGGAAAAUUAAGGAAACAAAUUACUUAAGAAGAUAUUUACAUUUUUGGAUUUUCGGCUGUUGAAAGACAAAAUUACUAACAAUUUAUACCUAAUUGAAUGAAAACCAAUAUUUUUCACUUUUAAGGAAAAUUAAUUUUGCUGUAGUGUGUUUUGUUACUUAAAAAUUUUAAUACCUGCCGUUGUAAGUAUCUGUACUUUUAAGUAUGCACUUGUAAUUAAGAUACUUUGAUAUCAUAAAAUUAAUAUCCUAAUUAUAUUAAGAAACAAAAAUGAUUUAAUCAUGAUUUUGCUAUUGCCAUGACUAUAUCAUGAAAAAGAGUCACAUAUCAAAUAAAUGCACAGUUCUCAAAAAAACUUAAUUACAAAUAUGAUGUCUAUUGGUUUUGUAUACAUGAUUCUAAGCAUAUAAAAUUAGUAAGCUUUAAUUUCUUCUAUCAAGUAUAAGAAUAUUGUGAGAUCAAUAUUAGAAUGAAUUGUUAUAUUGAAAUUACAGUAUUGUAGUUAAAUCUCUUGUAUGUUAAUUAUUCUUAUAGUAAUACUUUUACUUUAAAAAAUUAAAACUAUUGAUAAUUGUUAAAAUUGAACUUAAAGUAAGGUAAUGUUUUAGAGUAAUACAUGUAGUUAUUGGAAUACUUAUCUGAUUAAAUUCAAUUAGAAGGAGUAGUAAGAAAAAAAUUAGCUUAAAAUUUAAGGUAGGAAUAAUUGAUGUUUUAAAUACAAUGUGCAAGUACUUAAAACAACUAUAUUAAAAUUAUUAUUUUUAUACAUAUUAUUUCUACACAGUUACAUCAAUGGCUUGUUUAAAGAUUUGUGCUAUCAGUCAACAAAUAUUUUCAUUAUUUUUUGCUUACAACUGAGAAUGGUUUAUUUAUUACUACAGUAGAACCUUAAUGAGGCAUAAUACUUUCUGUUCCCUCGAAUCUUAUUUACUCAAAAAAAAAAAAAAAAAAGUAUAGAUAAUACAAAGAAAUUAUUUGAAGUUUUAUAAUAAACUAUUAUUAUAGUUAUAAACUAUCAAUAAACAAAUUGUUUUAUAUUAUGUAAUUUCAUAAAAUUAAAAAAAAAAAAUGAUUGUGAGAUUGGCAAAACGCUAUAAACUUUCAAUAAUAGAUUGCAAAAAAUAAAUAAAUCUAAUAGUAAUUGUUAAUUUUUUUAAUUAAAAUAGGGCAAUGUAAUAAAGUAAUAUUGUAGUUAUUAUAGGACUCUUUUUAUGAUGUAAUAUUAGAGGGAUUAGUAAGAAAAUAUCUUAAAAUUUAAGAUAUAUGUAAUUGUUAUUUUAUAUGUUACAUUCAAGUAUUACCAAUUGGAAUCAAUCUGUUAUAUUUUUAUAAAUAGGUGUUGAAUACAAACUCAAAUUCUUAAAUAAUUUUAAGUCAAUUUUUUUCUUUUAAUAGUUCAAAAACCUUAUUAAGUUAAAAAAAUAAUUUCUCUUGAGCUUUAACUUAUCCAGGUUCCACUGUAUUUUAAAAUUGGCAUCAGUGCCGUGCCAAGAAAAGGGCAUAGGAUGAUAUAAGGUUCAUACACUUUGCAAUAUUUAAUUGUUAUAAUUGACAGUUAUUUAAUAUUAGAAGAUGCUAACAUAUAAUUUAAAAAAAAAUUAUAUAUAUAAAUUUUAUAAAUUAAAAUAAAUACAUUUUUACUUAUUCACUUUUCAUUGUGUCGGUGCUAGGUUUUACAGUUUUUCUUGUGCUUGAAAGAAAGUAGUUUAGGUGAGAUAAAUUUCUUCCGAUAAAAAUUAUUACAUGAUGAAGAUAUUAUUUUUUUUUUUUUAAAGGGAGUAAUAAUUGUUAUUCAGAACAAAAACUCCAUACUAGACCUAACCCCAAGACCUAUACUAGUGGAGGCAUGAUAUAAACUUUCAAGAAUAGUCAAUACAAAUUCUAUCUCGUUUGUAUUAACUUCAAUUUCAUUAAAUUUCUUCAUAUAUUUUUCUAUAAUAGAAUACAUAGACAAUUUUAUAGAUACAUAUCAUUAAUUUUGUUAGAAAUGGAAUCUAUUUUGUUUCCGUCAGCCUCAAUUAGGGUCAUAGGGACUAAUUUUACCACUAGACCUAUUGUGAUAAUGUUAAUAUGUAUGUAUAUUAGGGUGACCCUUAGCUACAUGAGAGGUUUUUUUUUUUAAUAUUUGUAAGUGCCACCCCCUAGAAUUAUUUGAAUACAUAAAAGAAUAAAUUGUACAAAAUUUGGAGACGAUUGUCAACUCUAAGACGUGCCCCGAGGGGGUUAAAAAUAACCCCCCAGGGGUGAUUUUUUAGUUUUUUAUGUCUAUCUCAAAAACUUUAGCUUUUGCGAAAAUGUUUAUCGGGACUUUUUUGUAGGUAUACAAUUUUUAUAUAAAAAG